UACGGGGGGAGCAAGCGUUGUUCGGAUUUACUGGGCGUAAAGGGCGCGUAGGCGGCUGAACAAGUCAAAGGUGAAAUCCCUCGGCUCAACUGAGGAACUGCCUUUGAAACUGUUCGGCUUGAGGCCGGGAGGGGGUAGCGGAAUUCCCAGUGUAGCGGUGAAAUGCGUAGAUAUUGGGAGGAACACCAGUGGCGAAGGCGGCUACCUGGACCGGUUCUGACGCUGAGGCGCGAAAGCGUGGGUAGCAAACAGG
rnacentral:rRNA from 1 species